rnacentral:rRNA from 1 species
UACGGAGGGGGCAAGCGUUGUCCGGAAUCACUGGGCGUAAAGGGCGCGUAGGCGGCUCAUGAAGGCUGUGGUGAAAGUUCGGGGCUCAACCCUGAAUCGGCCGUCGAUACUCCCGGGCUUGAGCACUGUAGAGGCAGAUGGAAUUCCGGGUGUAGCGGUGGAAUGCGUAGAGAUCCGGAAGAACACCGGUGGCGAAGGCGACUUACUGGACACAUAUUGACGCUGAGGUGCGAAAGCGUGGGGAGCAAACAGG